rnacentral:rRNA from 1 species
UACGUAGGUGGCAAGCGUUGUCCGGAUUUAUUGGGUUUAAAGGGUGCGUAGGCGGUCUUCUAAGUCAGUUGUGAAGUACUUCAGCUUAACUGGAGAGGUGCAAUUGAUACUGGAAGACUUGAGUACUGAUGAGGUAGGCGGAAUGGACGGUGUAGCGGUGAAAUGCUUAGAUAUCGUCCAGAACACCGAUAGCGAAGGCAGCUUACUAAGGAGUAACUGACGCUGAGGCACGAAAGUGUGGGGAUCAAACAGG